rnacentral:rRNA from 1 species
CGCGUAGGCGGCGGACCGAGUCGAGUGUGAAGGCCCCGGGCUCAACCUGGGAGGUGCGCUCGAGACUGGCCCGCUGGAGUUCGGGAGAGGAGCGUGGAAUUCCCAGUGUAGAGGUGAAAUUCGUAGAUAUUGGGAAGAACACCGGUGGCGAAGGCGGCGCUCUGGACCGAGACUGACGCUGAGGCGCGAAAGCGUGGGGAGCAAACAGGAUUAGAUACCCUGGUAGUCCACGCUGUAAACGAUGUGUGCUAGACGUUGGGGAGCACAGCUCUUCGGUGUCGCCGCAAACGCUUUAAGCACACCGCCUGGGGAGUACGGCCGCAAGGUUAAA